rnacentral:rRNA from 1 species
UACGGAGGAUGCGAGCGUUAUCCGGAUUUAUUGGGUUUAAAGGGAGCGCAGACGGGAGAUUAAGUCAGUUGUGAAAGUUUGCGGCUCAACCGUAAAAUUGCAGUUGAUACUGGUUUCCUUGAGUGUAGUUGAGGCAGGCGGAAUUCGUGGUGUAGCGGUGAAAUGCUUAGAUAUCACGAAGAACCCCGAUUGCGAAGGCAGCUUGCUAAACUGUAACUGACGUUCAUGCUCGAAAGUGUGGGUAUCAAACAGG